UACGUAGGGUGCGAGCGUUAAUCGGAAUUACUGGGCGUAAAGCGUGCGCAGGCGGUUCGUUAUGUCCGAUGUGAAAGCCCCGAGCUUAACUUGGGAAUGGCAUUGGAUACUGGCGACCUAGAGUGCGGUAGAGGGGUGUGGAAUUCCCGGUGUAGCAGUGAAAUGCGUAGAUAUCGGGAGGAACAUCUGUGGCGAAGGCGACACCCUGGACCAGCACUGACACUGAGGCACGAAAGCGUGGGGAGCAAACAGG
rnacentral:rRNA from 1 species